GGAACCAUAGCUCAAGGGUAGAGCGUGUCACUCAUAAUGACUAGAUCUCAGUUCGAGUCUGAGUGGUUCUA